UUUGAGCGGGGGACAACAUUUGGAAACGAAUGCUAAUACCGCAUAAAAACUUUAAACACAAGUUUUAAGUUUGAAAGAUGCAAUUGCAUCACUCAAAGAUGAUCCCGCGUUGUAUUAGCUAGUUGGUGAGGUAAAGGCUCACCAAGGCGAUGAUACAUAGCCGACCUGAGAGGGUGAUCGGCCACAUUGGGACUGAGACACGGCCCAAACUCCUACGGGAGGCAGCAGUAGGGAAUCUUCGGCAAUGGACGAAAGUCUGACCGAGCAACGCCGCGUGAGUGAAGAAGGUUUUCGGAUCGUAAAACUCUGUUGGUAGAGAAGAACGUUGGUGAGAGUGGAAAGCUCAUCAAGUGACGGUAACUACCCAGAAAGGGACGGCUAACUACGUGCCAGCAGCCGCGGUAAUACGUAGGUCCCGAGCGUUGUCCGGAUUUAUUGGGCGUAAAGCGAGCGCAGGUGGUUUAUUAAGUCUGGUGUAAAAGGCAGUGGCUCAACCAUUGUAUGCAUUGGAAACUGGUAGACUUGAGUGCAGGAGAGGAGAGUGGAAUUCCAUGUGUAGCGGUGAAAUGCGUAGAUAUAUGGAGGAACACCGGUGGCGAAAGCGGCUCUCUGGCCUGUAACUGACACUGAGGCUCGAAAGCGUGGGGAGCAAACAGGAUUAGAUACCCUGGUAGUCCACGCCGUAAACGAUGAGUGCUAGAUGUAGGGAGCUAUAAGUUCUCUGUAUCGCAGCUA
rnacentral:rRNA from 1 species